rnacentral:rRNA from 1 species
AUUGAACGCUGGCGGCAUGCUUUACACAUGCAAGUCGAACGGUAACAGGGAGCUUGCUCCGCUGACGAGUGGCGAACGGGUGAGUAAUGCAUCGGAACGUACCCAGUCGUGGGGGAUAACGUAGCGAAAGUUACGCUAAUACCGCAUACGUCCUGAGGGAGAAAGCGGGGGACCGUAAGGCCUCGCGCGAUUGGGAGCGGCCGAUGUCGGAUUAGCUAGUUGGUAGGGUAAAGGCCUACCAAGGCGACGAUCCGUAGCGGGUCUGAGAGGAUGAUCCGCCACACUGGGACUGAGACACGGCCCAGACUCCUACGGGAGGCAGCAGUGGGGAAUUUUGGACAAUGGGCGAAAGCCUGAUCCAGCCAAUGCCGCGUGAGUGAAGAAGGCCUCGGUUGUAAG